rfam:Spirochaeta americana strain ASpG1 genome assembly, contig: Ga0071122_104
GGAGAGGUGACCGAGUGGCCGAAGGUGAACGCUUGGAAAGCGUUUGUACCCUAACCGGGUACCGAGGGUUCGAAUCCCUCCCUCUCCG